rnacentral:lncRNA from 1 species
UCAACAACAAUAACAACGUCAACCGCAACAACCAGAACAACGAACAAACACCUACAACAACAACAAUACCAACAACAAUCAUCAUAAACAAAACUUAGAGAGGAAGACGGUCUCUUUCGACCCAAUUCCUAUGUCUUAUGCUAAACUGUAUCCUUCUUUGGUUCUUAAGAACCUACUUCAACCAAGAAACCCGCCGCAAGUUCCAGAACCACUUCCGUGGUGGUAUAAGCCUGAACUCCGU